rnacentral:misc_RNA from 1 species
UCAAACUUGGUCAUUUAGAGGAAGUAAAAGUCGUAACAAGGUUUCCGUAGGUGAACCUGCGGAAGGAUCAUUAAUGAGUGAGGGUUCAGGCCCAAUCUCCCACCCGUGUUUAUCAGAACGUCUGUUGCUUUGGCGGGCCCACCGGGUCUGAUUCGUCCCGGUCGCUGGAGGGUCUCCGUACGCGGAGCUCUCGGGCCUGUGCCCGCCAGAGACCUUUUUGAAACUUCUGUGAAAUUUUGAGUAUGGUCUGAGUGGAUGAUAAAAUCGGUUUAAAACUUUCAACAACGGAUCUCUUGGUUCCAGCAUCGAUGAAGAACGCAGC